CCUACGGGUGGCAGCAGUGGGGAAUAUUGGACAAUGGGGGGAACCCUGAUCCAGCGACGCCGCGUGAGUGAAGAAGUAUUUCGGUAUGUAAAGCUCUAUCAGCAGGGAAGAAAAUGACGGUACCUGACUAAGAAGCCCCGGCUAAAUACGUGCCAGCAGCCGCGGUAAUACGUAGGGGGCAAGCGUUAUCCGGAUUUACUGGGUGUAAAGGGAGCGUAGACGGUGCAGCAAGUCUGAUGUGAAAGGGCGGGGCCCAACCCUGGAACUGCAAUGGAAACUGUUGAACUGGAGUACAGGAGAGGUAGGCGGAAUUCGUGGUGUAGCGGUGAAAUGCGUAGAUAUUAGGAAGAACACCGAUGGCGAAGGCGGCUUACUAAACUGUAACUGACAUUGAGGCUCGAAAGCGUGGGGAGCAAACAGGAUUAGAUACCCGAGUAGUC
rnacentral:rRNA from 1 species